CGCACAUCCCACGCCCCAUCUCCCCCAACCGCUUGCCUCCACUUCGAUCUCCCCGCACAGAAAAAUCGCCACCCCGCCUCGCCCUGACACCAAUCUACCACGACGAAUCGCCCUUCUCGGCCGCCGCCCACGGUUCGUUUCCAUCGUUGCCUCGUGCCUCCCCUUGUUCUUACGGUUGGGGUCGGUGUGGGAGGAGGCCCGGGGAAACCAUAGGGUCUCACACGGGACCGAAAGGAGAGGUGGCAGCACCGGUGAGCUCGCAACCGUCGUGCACGUCGACAAUGGCGAAGGCGAGACCGGCGUCCACACACGGCGAUGACGUCGCAGAUCCACAAAUCAGAUGCAGGCAAUUCUAAGGCUCUUCUAUAAUCUCGUCUCUUCUUCCUUUCUGCCUUUUCUAUCGCGAUCUGCUCGUGUAUGUCCUACGAUUUGUCGUUGACUGGUGUGCCGCUCUGGAUCUCGGUUGUAGGCCGGUGAUGACCACUGUCUCGGAUUCCUUCUUCGAGGUCCUCAGAUUUCUUAAUAAGGUGUGUGAUUGAUCGUCCGAGUUACUCUGGAUGUGGCUGGUGCUCGCGGUAGCGGCAGAGUGGCGUGCGCGAGCGCGGCGUAGGCAACGACCAAAGUCGCGUCAGUCAUUGUGAGCACGCCGUCCAGGCGACACAUCAAGUUCGACAGUGUUCCCUCCAAACUCCUAAGGUAUGUGGCCAGUGAAGAUCCAACGUCUUCAUUGCCUACGAGCCUACGGCGGCCGGAGCACAACAUGGCUUGCACCAAAUCUGGCUGCUAGAGAUAGCCCAGUGCUGAAGUCUCGGUUUCAAUUUUGGUUUUAGCAUUUCCCAAUUCUUCAGUAAUUUCCCUGCAAGUGUCGCCGAGGGUGUCGAGUGCGACAGAGAUUACCCACUUCUUCCUAUCCUACUACAUUUGGACAAUGACACUCAGUUCUAGCAAAAACUGCAACCUAACAUAAUGUCACUCAAUGAUGUUCUAUGUCUGUAAGCUUUUGAGCUGUUGUCUUGUACCUUCUUUAAGAGCAGAUACAACUUGUACGAUGAUAUUCCUCUAUGGGUUGUAUAGUUAAGAAUGGAUUCACUUGCUACGUAGAUUGCAGUUGAGGUGAAGCUCAAUGUGACGGGACCAACUUGUCAUUAAUUUUCUCCAUAAAUUGCAGCUGAGGUGAAGCCAUGGUUUACUUUCCAUUAGUGAAAUGAAAGAAAGAGAAAAAAAAAACAUGCGGCAUAUUUGUUUGUCCACAUCACGUGAUCCUCACCAUGUUCAUUUGUUAAGAGAAACAGAACACCGUGCCACUGUAAUGUUUCAAAUAUUCUAUGGUUUACUUAUUUAUUUUAGAAAAAAAUGUAUUUCAGCAUGUUGUUUGAUGAUCACCCUUUUUUAGAUCGUUAUUAUCCUAUUUUAAAUAAAUACAUCAGAGUUGUGUUUAAAUGUGCAUUACUUUUUCUUUAUGUGACCUCUAUUCAGUUCUACUUUAAUUUGUUGCAAUGCAGGGGACAGAGUGCAUCUUGCAAGAACUUAAUCUAUUUCUUUGCACGAAGCUUCCGGCCGAAAGCCCCACUUUACAUUUUGCAAAGGAUGUGACUCGCAGUGCAGCAACACUGUUUCAGUGACCUCUCCUGCUCACAUUGAUCGCCAAUGUCUUUGCCGUAUGUGCCAUCUUGCUGCUAUCUGAUCAGUGUCAUCACCACGCCGACGCUUGCCGUUGUUAGAUCUAUCAACAUGCGUCCAUUGCUCCAUUACGUUGAUUUCUUUUUUUUUCAAUAUAUGUUGCACAAGGCUCUAGGAGCCAGGAUUCUUAUGACUGAUGCCGUACUACUUAUGCUGGUUUGCGGGCUAUAAUUCUAGAAUUUCUUCUCAAGACAUGAAAUGUUUGAAUUAGCAGAAAGAAUGAGCUAUUGGGUCACAUGUUAAUGAGUUAUGCAUUAAUUUCAA